UCUCUUAACUGAAAUGGUCAGUUUUUUUACACCUCCCAGACAUACAGUAUAUUGCUCCUAUUGAAAAGGGUCUUUCCACUUGCAGACAUCAGUUACAUCUGGUCAUGCCGUCAUCUCCAGCUUUCCUAUGUGGGUUUAAAUAUAAAUUCAGACACACUCCUAGUAAUGGAAUUGCCUUAGAAAUGAAUCCAGAGUGAAGUGUAACUUAAUGAUCCUUUAAUUUAGGGCUCAUGCACACGACCGCGCUCCAUCUGGGAAACACGACCAGCGCCACGCUGGACAUCUCCUGGACAGACGCCGGCUCCUCUGACCCAAACUCACAGCAUUACAGCCAUUUCCGAUGCAGAGUUCCUAUGUGACCACUGGUCUAUGCUACUGUACUCACACGAUGAUUGAGUACAGUACAAUACAACGCACCAGCGGUCAGAUAAUUGUAUUGUACAAUCGCGCAGUGAGU